AUUGAACGCUGGCGGCAUGCCUAACACAUGCAAGUCGAACGAGAGGCGGACGGGUGAGUAAUGACUGGGCACCUGCCUGAUGGAGGGGGACAACUAAUGGAAACGGUAGCUACUUCCGCAUACCACAGCAUGUGCCCGGAGGGGAUUAGCUAGGUGGUGGGGUAACGGCUCACCAAGGCGACGAUCCCUAGCUGGUCUGAGAGGAUGAACAGCCACACUGGAACUGAGACACGGCCCAGACUCCUACGGGAGGCAGCAGUGGGGAAUAUUGGACAAUGGGGGAAAGCCUGAUCCAGCCAUGCCGCGUGUGUGAAGAAGGCCUUCGGGUUGUAAAGUACUUUCGGCAGGGAGGCGGUACCCGCAGAAGAAGCACCGGCUAACUCCGUGCCAGCAGCCGCGGUAAUUC
rnacentral:rRNA from 1 species